CCUACGGGAGGCAGCAGUAGGGAAUUUUCCACAAUGGGCGAAAGCCUGAUGGAGCAACGCCGCGUGGGUGAAGAAGGUCUUCGGAUCGUAAAACCCUGUUGUUAGAGAAGAAAGUGCGUGAGAGUAACUGUUCACGUUUCGACGGUAUCUAACCAGAAAGCCACGGCUAACUACGUGCCAGCAGCCGCGGUAAUACGUAGGUGGCAAGCGUUAUCCGGAUUUAUUGGGCGUAAAGGGAACGCAGGCGGUCUUUUAAGUCUGAUGUGAAAGCCUUCGGCUUAACCGGAGUAGUGCAUUGGAAACUGGGAGACUGGAGGGCAGAAGAGGAGAGUGGAACUCCAUGUGUAGCGGUGAAAUGCGUAGAUAUAUGGAAGAACACCAGUGGCGAAAGCGGCUCUCUGGUCUGUAACUGACGCUGAGGUUCGAAAGCGUGGGUAGCAAACAGGAUUAGAUACCCAAGUAGUC
rnacentral:rRNA from 1 species